CAGUAAAUUCUCCUGAUGAUCUUCUGAGGGUCACAGUGAUCCUCUCUAUGACAGGGGUGGUUUAUGACAGGCCCCAAUACACCUCCUGUGGCAGUCCAUCAUCUGUUAAGUAUCCAUAGUCUCUGGCUUUCUCUCGUGAGUGGUGACUUGGCCUUUAUUGGAAUCUGAACACAUGCUGCCAGUCAGUGAGUUAAUCUUAAUGGUGUGGGCUGAUAUACAAACAGUACAGGUGACAAAUGGUUCACUUCCUGAGCUCAAUUUGUUUUGUUGGCUUGUGUCCUGUUCUGUUUUGUUUGGGACAGAGUCUCCUUAUGUAGUUAGGCCAUGCUGAUCUUGGACAUGCAGCAAUCCUUCUGCCUCCUGAGUUCUGAGGGCUGAGAUUAUAGGUGUGUCACCAUACCCAUCUUUGUUAUGUGUGUGUGUGUGUUUAAUGUGUGUUGACAAACUUAAUUUAUUCCCACAAUGAAGGCUGAAGGAAGAUCAGAAGCAAGAGUCUGGUCUCCCGCCCCCUCUCCUUGUAUCAGAUGAACAGGAGCUAGGCCUGAAAAGACCUAGGAUUGUUCCUGGGCUACUGCAGGCUUGUUCAGGCAAGAUAACAAGCAGAUAUUGUCAGGGACAGCAGCAAGCUCAGCAUCAACAACAUCUUGGGCCGCAUGCAUUUUAAUGGUCAUGCUCAACCUUUCAACCUAUUUUGGGCAGGGGGCAUGGGACAACAUGCAACACGUUCCUUGUUCAACUGGUCUCCUUGGUUAACCACUUUGCUUCCAGCUCUAACAGGUCCCUAACGAUCUUGCUUCUUAUCAACAGACUUGAUGGCUUUUGUUUGAGAACGAGUCAAUAUCACCUCCUUGAGCCCCUAGACAGACAGGACCCAUGAUCGAGUCCUGUCAUUGGUACUUGUAAAGGGAAAAAAAUGUAGGGUCCAGGGCAGCUUUCCCAGGUCAACUUGGUACACACCUGCCAAGAUGGGUUUUAUAGAUCAAAGGUAGACCUGAGUCCCAGUUUGCCCUAGGGCAAUGCUAGCUCUUAGACCCCUCCUGUUCCCAUUUCACCUUAGGACCUGUUUCUUGCUUUUGCAGGAGACAACAUUAACAGCUAGAUAUAUACUUGUUCUGUGUUUACCCUGGAAAUGACUAAUUUGGUUUCUUUAUUGGCUUUAGUUCAAAAUCAUUAGAGUGUGGAGUUCUAGUCUUGUAAAAGCUGGUAACUUAUUAUAGACUGUUAGGAAAUACAAGUCAAUCCUCUUUAAAGUACUGAUAUAAUUAGUUACAGGAAUAAGCCUUAUUUAGUUUCCUAUAUACGUUUUCAAAGUCAAACUUAAAACAAAUAAUAAAAAACAAAGUUUGUCUAAUCAGACAUACCCAGGCAGCCCUCAUACUGCAGAGAUCUGCAGGAUAUGGCAUUUAAAAUAAUAAUUAAAAAACUUAUUAUAUCAGACAGAGACUCUGAGGUCCUAGCAGUAACCCAAGGUCUCCAAAAAGAUUAGGAGACACCAUGAUGUCUCCACCUGGAUGACGACUACGCUGACCACUGGACGAGAUGCCCCAGUGCAACACCACCUGCCAGGACCAGGUACAGACUGUGGACAAACAGCAGGACCUUGGAGAAUUGAUUGCACCACUUUUGCCUAGACAAAAUAAGGUCAGUCUUUUCCAUGUCCCUCUUCCACAGAAAAGGAAAAAGUUCACCUUAUAGGCCUGGAUUAGACGGUAAGACUGAUGUUCUGGAUAUUUCUGCCUCCAAUGCUAUGGAGACCUGGGUAUGACUAACUGUAUAUGGACUCUGGUCCCUGUCAUUUUAAUAGAUUUAAAAACUAUUUGGUCUGUACUCAGAUAUACUUUAUUUAUCCUUCUGAGUUCUCUGAUAGUAUUAAUGGCUAGGACAGUAUAAUGUCAGUUUAGCAACAAAAGGUAUCCAGAUAAAAGUUCAUAAGCUUUGAGGGCCUAAAAAAAAUGACUUAAGAUAUAAAAAAAUGUUUCUAAUCCCCCUCCCACCAUGGUAAUUCUAAUAAGCUAAUAGAGCAAUGACUACUAACUGUAUGGGUCACAAGCUCAAGAUUUUAGAUCUAUUCUGAUUGUCAUUUAAAUAUUAACUUAAAGGUGUUUCUUAUUGGGCCAAAGGCAUCUCUGUCCAAACCAUACAUGGUUCUCUGGACAGCAGAAAAAUAUACAUGCUUCUAACCAAAAUCUGUAGUUUUUGCUAGGACUCAAAGGUAGGAGUCUAUUCCUUCUGUUUACAGAUACCCGUUAUCUGUUCUUUUUCUACAAUAUGGGUUUUCUUUAAGUAAAUAAAUUUUAACUUCUGCUCCUAGUUUAAACUUAUCUCAGUAGGCUUCCACUUGGCUGGCAGAUGCAUCUUAGCAUCAGUUGCUGACUACAACCUGCUCUGAAUGGUGGCGAGCCCUGGACUUCCUGAAAGCUGAUGUGGACCAGUCCAGCUGAUGUGAACAUGAACACUCCCUGUCCCUUCAACGAAGUCUGCACAUGCAGACCUGGCAGACACCAUCGUACAUGCUGGUCCAAAUGCCCUUAUAUAGAAACAGAACCCUUCAAUCAACAUCUAUCAACUCCCUCCCAUCUCAUCCUGAAGUAUCCUGUCAUUUUAUGGCUUCCCAAGAAAGGACUGAGAGAAACUGAGAUGUCUUCUUCAGGACACAUGCUGUACUAUGCCUGUUCCUGUCCUACUUCAGGGCCUCAGCAUGGCUGCCUAUAA